CCCGUCACAUCAUGAAAGCCGUUUGUAUCCGAAGUCACCGUGUUAACUCGCAAGAGAGACAGGUGCCGAAGGUAUGGAUGGUGAUUGGGAUG
rnacentral:rRNA from 1 species